rnacentral:rRNA from 1 species
AGUGAACGCUGGCGGUAGGCCUAACACAUGCAAGUCGAACGGCAGCACAGUAAGAGCUUGCUCUUACGGGUGGCGAGUGGCGGACGGGUGAGGAAUACAUCGGAAUCUACUUUUUCGUGGGGGAUAACGUAGGGAAACUUACGCUAAUACCGCAUACGACCUACGGGUGAAAGCAGGGGAUCUUCGGCCCUUGCGCGAUUCAAUGAGCCGAUGUCGGAUUAGCUAGUUGGCGGGGUAAAGGCCCACCAAGGCGACGAUCCGUAGCUGGUCUGAGAGGAUGAUCAGCCACACUGGAACUGAGACACGGUCCAGACUCCUACGGGAGGCAGCAGUGGGGAAUAUUGGACAAUGGGCGCAAGCCUGAUCCAGCCAUACCGCGUGUGUGAAGAAGGCCUUCGGGUUGUAAAGCCCUUUUGUUGGGAAAGAAAAGCAGCAGGUUAAUACCCCGCUGUUCUGACGGUACCCAAAGAAUAAGCACCGGCUAACUUCGUG